rnacentral:rRNA from 1 species
AUACGGAAGGUGCGAGCGUUAUCCGGAUUCAUUGGGUUUAAAGGGAGCGCAGGCGGAGAUGCAAGCGUGACGUCAAAUUUCGGGGCUCAACCCCGUCUCGCGUCGCGAACUGCGUCCCUUGGUUGCGGGAAGGGGAGGCGGAACUCGUGGUGUAGCGGUGAAAUGCAUAGAUAUCACGAAGAACUCCGAUCGCGAAGGCAGCCUUCCGGCCCGUCAACGACGCUCAUGCUCGAAGGUGCGGGUAUCAAACAGGAUUAGAUACCCUGGUAGUCCGCACAGUAAACGAUGGACACCCGCGGUUUGGCCUGUAUGGCUGAGCCGCCAAGCGAAAGCGUUAAGUGUCCCACCUGGGGAGUACGCCGGCAACGGUGAAACUCAAAUGAAUUGACGGGG